CCUACGGGUGGCAGCAGUGAGGAAUAUUGGUCAAUGGACGAGAGUCUGAACCAGCCAAGUAGCGUGAAGGAUGACUGCCCUAUGGGUUGUAAACUUCUUUUAUAUGGGAAUAAAAUGUUCCACGUGUGGGAUUUUGUAUGUACCAUAUGAAUAAGGAUCGGCUAACUCCGUGCCAGCAGCCGCGGUAAUACGGAGGAUCCGAGCGUUAUCCGGAUUUAUUGGGUUUAAAGGGUGCGUAGGCGGAAGGUUAAGUCAGCGGUCAAAUGUCGGUGCUCAACACCGGCCUGCCGUUGAAACUGGUCUUCUUGAGUGAGCGAGAAGUAUGCGGAAUGCGUGGUGUAGCGGUGAAAUGCAUAGAUAUCACGCAGAACUCCGAUUGCGAAGGCAGCAUACCGGCGCUCAACUGACGCUGAGGCACGAAAGCGUGGGGAUCGAACAGGAUUAGAUACCCCAGUAGUC
rnacentral:rRNA from 1 species